rnacentral:tRNA from 1 species
AGUGGAGUCAGCUAAAAAAGCUAUCGGGCCCAUACCCCGAAAAUGACGGUUUAACCCCAUCCCCCACUA